UACGGAGGGGGCUAGCGUUGUUCGGAAUUACUGGGCGUAAAGCGCACGUAGGCGGCUUUGUAAGUUAGAGGUGAAAGCCCGGGGCUCAACUCCGGAAUUGCCUUUAAGACUGCAUCGCUAGAAUUGUGGAGAGGUAAGUGGAAUUCCGAGUGUAGAGGUGAAAUUCGUAGAUAUUCGGAAGAACACCAGUGGCGAAGGCGGCUCACUGGCCCGGUACUGACGCUCAGGUGCGAAAGCGUGGGGAGCAAACAGGG
rnacentral:rRNA from 1 species